rnacentral:rRNA from 1 species
GAUGAACGCUGGCGGCGUGCCUAACACAUGCAAGUCGAUCGAGGGUUUGCUCAGUAUUGAGUAUUCUAAGACUAGAAUGUUCAAUUCUGAGCAAAACCAAGCGGCGGACGGGUGAGUAACGCGUGGGUAACCUGCCCUAUACACAUGGAUAACAUACUGAAAAGUUUACUAAUACAUGAUAAUAUAUAUUUGCGGCAUCGCAGAUAUAUCAAAGUGUUAGCGGUAUAGGAUGGACCCGCGUCUGAUUAGCUAGUUGGUGAGAUAACUGCCCACCAAGGCGACGAUCAGUAGCCGACCUGAGAGGGUGAUCGGCCACAUUGGAACUGAGACACGGUCCAAACUCCUACGGGAGGCAGCAGUGGGGAAUAUUGCACAAUGGGCGAAAGCCUGAUGCAGCAACGCCGCGUGAACGAUGAAGGUCUUCGGAUCGUAAAGUUCUGUUGCAGGGGAAGAUAAUGACGUA